CCUACGGGUGGCAGCAGUGAGGAAUAUUAGUCAAUGGGCGGGAGCCUGAACCAGCCAAGUCGCGUGAGGGAAGACGGUCCUAUGGAUUGUAAACUCCUUUAGGCGGGGAGCAAUGCCGGGCACGUGUGACCGGAGGGAGAGUACCCGCAGAAGAAGCAACGGCUAACUCAGUGCCAGCAGCCGCGGUAAUACGGAGGAUGCGAGGGUUAUCCGGAUUUAUUGGGUUAAAGGGGUGCGUAGGCGGAUUUUUAAGUCAGCGGUAAAAUGUCCGGGCUCAACCCGGGCCGGCCGUUGAAACUGGGGGUCUUGAGUGGGCGAGAGGUAGGCGGAAUGCGUGGUGUAGCGGUGAAAGGCAUAGAUAUCACGCAGAACUCCGAUUGCGAAGGCAGCAUACCGGCGCCCGACUGACGCUGAGGCACGAAAGCGUGGGGAUCGAACAGGAUUAGAUACCCUAGUAGUC
rnacentral:rRNA from 1 species